rnacentral:misc_RNA from 1 species
GAUGAAGAACGCAGUGAAAUGCGAUAAGUAGUGUGAAUUGCAGAAUUCAGUGAAUCAUCGAAUCUUUGAACGCACAUUGCGCCCUUUGGUAUUCCUUAGGGCAUGCCUGUUCGAGCGUCAUUUAAACCUUCAAGCUAAGCUUGGUGUUGGGUGACUGUCCGCUUCACGGCGGACUCGCCUCAAAAUUAUUGGCGGCCGGUACAUUGGCUUCGAGCGCAGCAGAAACGCGAACUCGGGCCCGUCGUAUUGGCUCCCAGAAGCUAUCUUCACAAUUUUGACCUCGGAUCAGGUAGGGAUACCCGCUGAACUUAAGCAUAUCAAUAAGUGGAGGA